AUUGAACGCUGGCGGCAGGCCUAACACAUGCAAGUCGAACGAGUGGCGGACGGGUGAGUAAUGUCUGGGAAUCUAGCCGAUGGAGGGGGAUAACUACGGGAAACUGUAGCUAAUACCGCAUACCAUGGGGUGAGCCCAAGUGGGAUUAGGUAGUUGGGGAGGUAACGGCUCACCAAGCCGACGAUCCCUAGCUGGUCUGAGAGGAUGACCAGCCACACUGGGACUGAGACACGGCCCAGACGCCUACGUGAGGCAGCAGUGGGGAAUAUUGCGCAAUGGGGGCAACCCUGACGCAGCCAUGCCGCGUGAGUGAAGAAGGCCUUCGGGUUGUAAAGUACUUUCGGUAGCGAGGCGUUAACUACAGAAGAAGCACCGGCUAACUCCGUGCCAGCAGCCGCGGUAAUUC
rnacentral:rRNA from 1 species